ensembl:lncRNA
AUGGGGCAAGAGGCGCAGGCGACCUCCACAACUCCUGCAGGACCGUUAAGGCCGAGGCCCACUCGGCCUCUCAUGCCACCACCAGCCGGACACGUCCUACUCGGCCCCAGAUGCCGCCUCCAUCCCCCGAUGCCCAGGUUAGGAACCCAGGCUCACCAACCGACUUAUCCUCCUCCUCACUGUCCCCUCUGCACCACCACUCGGCUCCCGAGUUCCCUGCCACCACCAGCCGGACACGUCCUACUCGGCCCCAGAUGCCGCCUCCAUCCCCCGAUGCCCAGGUUAGGAACCCAGGCUCACCAACCGACUUAUCCUCCUCCUCACUGUCCCCUCUGCACCACCACUCGGCUCCCGAGUUCCCUAAAACCUCAGCGGGCUCCGCGGAAUCUUUCCAGCACACCUAACAUGGCGGCCUUGUCCACUUCGCUCUCUUCGCCCGCUGCGGGCGCGUCCGACCAUGGCGCAUUUUGGGCAUUGUAGUUCCGGGGGAUAGCCCGGCUGUUCCGCCGGGCCUUGAGGAAACUACAAUUCCCAGAACGCACCGCUCCUGAGCAUGGCUAUUGGGGCCUUUUGGACAGUGGGAUGAUGUCAUUGCAAAAACCCCACUGCAUUCAUUGUGCUACGAUCUAUCCACCCCCCUGCUGCUGCUAGGCUUGCGAUUGCCGCUCGCUCCAGCUGAGCUAAGCGUAGCAGCAGCACCAGGGCAAGGACUGACUUCAGCCCUUGGACUUAGGACAUCGCAACACCCUCCAUUGCUUGCGUGACUCAUUCGCACAUCCUUUCUGUUUAUGCCUGGGGUGGGGAGAAAAAUCCCAAACCAGGUGAGUUGAAGUGAUUUAUUCAAAUGAUUCUACCAAGUUAUUCCUCCCUUAGUUCUCAAGGCUUUCUUUUGGGAAGAUGGGGGCGGGAGGAUUGGGAAGGUUGCUCGCAAGCGCUGCUAAGCGAAAAGCUCUCUGCAAUUUGGGUCACUGCAAAGAACAACUCCAGCAGCCUUCCCCCGCCAGAGGACGGAUGCUUGCCAAUUCCCUAGUCGCAACUCCCCUCAACCUUUUUGAAGACUGGGAGAGGGAGCUGGGUUGGGGAGGAUGUUGGGAAGUGCUCUUGGAAAAUAAUCAGAGGAAGGCAGUGGUGGGAGACUGCAGUCCUGUCACAUACGGCCCGAGUGCUGAGAUUUGAGUGGGAAGGGGUGAUGCGUGGGGAGAAAUGGAGACAGUGAUUUCAUGUGGUCGCACUACUUUGGAACAUUUCGUGUCACUUGGGCGAGCACACACUAUUCAUUUUUAAGAUGAGCGUGCUUCUGAGUAGGUUAAGUUUUGUGGGUCUUUAUUUUGUGUGUGUGUGUGUCUACGUCGUUUGUCUCGCCUUUUCUGCCAAUUUGAGGUGACAGUGUCCUUUAAUGGUGCACUCCGUGCCAGUCAGAAACAUUUCACGUGUCUGGGCAAGGUUCUCUGAGGCUGCUGGAAGCAACAUUUUCGUUGAGUGUUUUUCCUCUCCCAACUGCAAGGUUUCAGGAUUGUUUGGAUGUGGAGCCGACAGAUUUGUACUUGUGCGAAUGUUUUAAAUUACAUUCCAAUAGGCUUCUUGCCACUGACAGUGGUACCGUAAUGAGCUGUCCUUUCCUGAGGCAGUCACCAGUCACAAAUAACGGUUUGGAGAAUGGAUCAUUAGGGUUCAUUUUAACGCAUUAGGG